AGUGAACGCUGGCGGUAGGCCUAACACAUGCAAGUCGAACGGCAGCACAGAGGAGCUUGCUCCUUGGGUGGCGAGUGGCGGACGGGUGAGGAAUACAUCGGAAUCUACUCUGUCGUGGGGGAUAACGUAGGGAAACUUACGCUAAUACCGCAUACGACCUCAGGGUGAAAGCAGGGGAUCUUCGGACCUUGCGCGAUUGAAUGAGCCGAUGUCGGAUUAGCUAGUUGGCGGGGUAAAGGCCCACCAAGGCGACGAUCCGUAGCUGGUCUGAGAGGAUGAUCAGCCACACUGGAACUGAGACACGGUCCAGACUCCUACGGGAGGCAGCAGUGGGGAAUAUUGGACAAUGGGCGCAAGCCUGAUCCAGCCAUACCGCGUGGGUGAAGAAGGCCUUCGGGUUGUAAAGCCCUUUUGUUGGGAAAGAAAUCCAUCUGGUUAAUACCCGGGUGGGAUGACGGUACCCAAAGAAUAAGCACCGGCUAACUUCGUGCCAGCAGCCGCGGUAA
rnacentral:rRNA from 1 species